rnacentral:rRNA from 1 species
GAUGAACGCUGGCGGCGUGCCUAAUACAUGCAAGUCGAGCGAACAGACGAGGCUCUUGCUCCUCUGACGUUAGCGACGGACGGGUGAGUAGCACGUGACUAGCCUACCUCUAUGGCUGAAGUAACUGCGGCAAACCGUAACAAAGACCGGAAACUUUCUCGACCCGCAUGGUUCAGUAGUGAAAUAUGGUUUUGCUGUCGACUAUCGAUGGAUCCGCGCGGCAUUGGGUUGUUGGUAAGGUAACGGCUUAACAGGGCGGCGAUGGGUGGCCGACCGCGGCGGGGGGUCGGCCACACUGGAGCGGGAACGCGGUCCAGACUCCUACGGGAGGCACCAGUAGGGAAUGUGCCGCAAUAGGCGAAAGCCUGACGGAGCAGCGCCGAGUGAGAUGUGAAGGUCUUCGGAUCGUAAAAAUCUGUUAUUAGGGAAGAACAAAUUUGUAAGGAAAUAUGCACGUCUUGACGGUACCUAAUCAGAAAGCCACGGCUAACUACGUG